UUGUGGUGUGGUCCACUUGAGCUUUGGAUAUGACUCAUUUUUGGGUGCAUGAUCUAAAAUGAUCUCUCCAAAUGCAUGAACGGUGUAGAUAUAAUAAAUACAUUAUUGUGGGGCCAUGUAACUUUGAAAUCGCCGUACCAAAGCCUUAUGUAGGAAGUUCCUGCGCUUGAAACCUUAGUGCGGCCUACCAUGAUGUUUGUGAGGAAUCCACUCCGUCCAUCUAUUUUGUGAGAUCAUUUUAGGACAUUGAAUAAAAAAUGAGUAGGAUCUAAUACUCAAGUGUGCCAAAAAUGUGAGGAUUGAACAUCCACACUUGAAAUAUUCGUGGGGCCACAUAAGUUUUGAAUUAGACUAAUAUUUGUAUUUUCAAUUCAUCCGUGUAGGAAUAACGUUAUGAACGGUAUGGAUGGCAUGUUAACAUCACUGUUGACCCAAGGAGGUUUCAACGGUAGGAAUUUUCCUACCCACCUUUUCCUUUAGUGCGGCCCACUUUAGUCUUGGAUUCUGCUCAUUUUUGCUCUCAAGUGCUAAAAUGAUCUCAAAAAAUGAAUGGACGAGGUGGAUUUCCUACAAACAUCACAGUGGGCCCCACCUAGGUUUUGAGCGAAGGAACUUGGUAGGAAAUCUUCGCACGAUCAGCGCCCCACCCCCAGUGUGGUGGGAAGUGGAUCCCCUAGUGAGCAGUGUACUUUGCAAACUUUGUGGGCCCACUAUAAUUCAUGUAUUUUAUCCACUCCGUCCCUCCAUUUUACCAGAUAAAUUUAUGGUUUGAAUGAAGCGAAAAAACUAUUAUUAGCUUGAUCCAAAACUUUUGUGGCCCACUAAUGGUCAAUCACCAUUGUUUCCUAUGGUAUGGUCUACCUAAUUAUUGGAUCUGUUUUAUUGUUUGGAUAAUGUCCUGAAAUGAUAUGGAAAAACGGAUGGACGGGGUUGAUACUGAAUAUAGUUGUCUUAGUUCAAUCGGACAGCGCAUAGCUUAGGACCCUAUACAAAGGAAAUCUAUUAUGUACACUUCUUUUUUGAAACUUUAUGAUUUAAAAGUGUGUAUUAAGGGCCUUUUUAACAAUCCCCAAAGUUUCAUUAAAAAAUUCAACCAUUUUCCCAAUGUUUCCCCAUGUUUCCCAAAAAGUGCGAUAAACUAUGUGAUACAAACGAUAUAUCCCGUGCGAUAACCGAUACGUAUCUGUAUCCCAAGGGUGCGAUAAAUUGUGCGAUACCGAUAUUUCAAACACUGGUUCUAUGUA